GUGCCAGCAGCAGCGGUAAUACGUAGGUGGCAAGCGUUGUCCGGAAUUAUUGGGCGUAAAGCGCGCGCAGGUGGUUUCUUAAGUCUGAUGUGAAAGCCCACGGCUCAACCGUGGAGGGUCAUUGGAAACUGGGAGACUUGAGUGCAGAAGAGGAGUAGUGGAAUUCCAAGUGUAGCGGUGAAAUGCGUAGAGAUUUGGAGGAACACCAGUGGCGAAGGCCGACGUAUCUGGUCUGUAGCUGACAC
rnacentral:rRNA from 1 species